rnacentral:rRNA from 1 species
AUUGAACGCUGGCGGCAUGCUUUACACAUGCAAGUCGAACGGUAACAGGCCUUCGGGUGCUGACGAGUGGCGCACGGGUGCGUAAUGCAUCGGAACGUACCCAGAGGUGGGGGAUAACGCAGCGAAAGCUGUGCUAAUACCGCAUGUGAUCUGAGGAUGAAAGCGGGGGACCGAGCAGCAAUGUUUGGCCUCGCGCCUUUGGAGCGGCCGAUGUCGGAUUAGCUAGUUGGUGGGGUAAAGGCCUACCAAGGCGACGAUCCGUAGCUGGUCUGAGAGGACGACCAGCCACACUGGGACUGAGACACGGCCCAGACUCCUACGGGAGGCAGCAGUGGGGAAUUUUGGACAAUGGGCGCGAGCCUGAUCCAGCAAUGCCGCGUGCGGGAAGAAGGCCUUCGGGUUGUAAACCGCUUUUGGCAGGAACGAAACGGUGUCCGCUAAUACCGGGCGCUAAUGACGGUACCUGCAGAAUAAGCACCGGCUAACUACGUG